rnacentral:lncRNA from 10 species
CGUUAAUAUGUAACACAUUUCCUAUUCAGUUAUCUACUGACACAAUAAGCAGUAUAGUUUCCUGACAUAUAUCAUUUCAUCUACCACAUAUACCAUUGAUCCUACAUUUCAAUGACUUACAAUCAAUUUGCAAGUAUUUAUUCAAUAAUUAUUACAUACCCAAUACCAUCCUAGGUAAAAUGGGCUUACAGAUGGGAGGGAAAACUCUCAUUUUCAGAAUUUUCAAAAAUCUCUGUAUUAGUUCAUUUUUGCACUGCUAUAAAGAACUUCCCUGAGACUGGGUAAUUUAUAAAGGAAACAGGUUUAAUUGAUUCACAGUUUUGCAUGGCUGGGGAGGCCUCAGGAAACUUACAGUUGUGGUGAAACGGGAAGCAGGCACCUUUCUCACAAGCUGGCAAUAGAGAAAGAGAGAGCAUGUGAAGGAGGAGCUGUCAGACACUUACAAACCCAUCAGACCUCUUGAGAAUUCACUCAAUAUCACUAGAACAGCAUGGGGGAACCACCCCCACGAUCCAAUCAUCUCCAGCCAGGUUCCUUCCUCGACCCAUGGGGAUUAUGGGGAUCCUAAUUCUAGAUGAGAUUUGGGUAGGAACACUGAGCCAAACCAUAUCAAUCUCCAAAUAAUAUUUAUUAAAAUAGUUCAAAGUAGUUCUAUUCAAUAAAUGAUUAUAAGUUCUAUUAUAAAAGAUAUUUAAACACUUUAAAUAAAUGUAUUGCAAAUAACUUGCCCUAUUCUUCAAAUUGUGUUCAUUGACAGCUAGCAAUGAUGUUCACAUUGUAUAAAUUUUCAUUAGAAAUACAGGAUAUAUUUUUAACCUUCUUUUUCAAACUUAGACGCUGUUUCUGGUACAGAUAUUUUUUCCCUACUGUUCAUUUUCCUUUUGCAAACUUAAUGAGAAAAUGAUGAGUCAUAGAAGAGAUUGGAGAUGAUUCAUCAGACAAUUCAAAUUUGUUGAAAAUCUAUAAAACAAAGCCCUUUUAUAGGCACCAUGUGGCAAAGAAAAUUGAUUUCUAAAGUCAGAUAACAUGAGUUCAAAUCCCAGCUUUCCCCUUAUUAAUGCUGAGAUUUUACUCUUGCUAUUUAACUUUUAAGCCCCCAAGUCUUCAUUGCUAACAAGAAGUAAUUUUCAUUUCUACUCUAUA